rnacentral:tRNA from 1 species
GGGCGCGUAGCUCAGCUUGGAUAGAGCAUCUGCCUUCUAAGCAGGGGGUCGCGGGUUCGAAUCCCGUCGCGCCCA